GGUUCCUCCUUUGAAGUUUUACGGUGAGCUUAGGUUCAGACUACAGUCACAGCAAGAAAAGCAACCCUUGUAACCAUGACUCGCCUAAGAUUAAUUUCACUGGAUUUCCCAAGAAUUACUUAGUAAUUUGAAAGACCAUUGAACUCCUACUGAUCUGAAAUUGAAUGCUGUGGAGCUUCUUUAAACUGCUUCUGGCAUUUAAAUGGCAUUGAAGGAAAGGAUUUCACAGCAGAUACGAAAGAUUCCUGAUAAAGUUACUUUGAGAUGAGCAUUCAGGAGAUUUUGUCCACGGAAGAAACUUGGUUGGCCAAUGGGAGCAGCAAGAAAGAAUAAGGAAAGCACAGAGAUAAGGCCUUCUGGUGAACCUCCUUAGAGUGUCUGUGGCAGAAUUGCACCGUAGAGGAAUUCUAUACCCAGACUGGAUCAAUUGCAAGCCUUUAUCUGGCAUUGGAAUUUGUGAGGUCUUUUUGCCAACACCCACUCCUCUCAUGCAGAGCUCAUCUGAAGCAUGUGACUUUUGACAACACGUACUUGUGGUGACAGGUCUUCUCACGAUGGAGCAGGACACCUGCCCCGACAGCACCCUGCAUCUUGCAGGAUGCCGGAGCCCUGCCGUGAUGACACCUGCACCUCCACGAACUGCUCGAGUUCCCGGUUUGCCAGCUCCCUCGCAGUAAGCAGCCUUUUUGUCUUCUUACGCUUGGCUUUUAAAUGGAAGCAAGACCUCGACCGCACUCCCAUCAUCGUGUACUGCGGUGC